rnacentral:rRNA from 1 species
GAUGAACGCUGGCGGCGUGCCUAAUACAUGCAAGUCGAGCGAACGGACGAGAAGCUUGCUUCUCUGAUGUUAGCGGCGGACGGGUGAGUAACACGUGGAUAACCUACCUAUAAGACUGGGAUAACUUCGGGAAACCGGAGCUAAUACCGGAUGAUAUUUUGAACCGCAUGGUUCAAAAGUGAAAGACGGUCUUGCUGUCACUUAUAGAUGGAUCCGCGCUGCAUUAGCUAGUUGGUAAGGUAACGGCUUACCAAGGCAACGAUGCAUAGCCGACCUGAGAGGGUGAUCGGCCACACUGGAACUGAGACACGGUCCAGACUCCUACGGGAGGCAGCAGAAGGGAAUCUUGCGCAAUGGGCGAAAGCCUGACGGAGCAACGCCGCGUGAGUGAUGAAGGUCAACGGAUCGUAAAACUCUGUUAUUAGGGAAGAACAUAUGUGUAAGUAACUGAGCACAUCGUGACGGUACCUAAUCAGAAAGCCACGGCUAACUACGUG